GAUAACCAAAAAUAGUUACAGGAUUAAGAGUAGGAUUGCUGACAAUUCGUACAUUAGCAAUAGUAGCAUCGUAAAUACCACCCCAAAAUAUUGCCUUGCCAGCAAAAAAUAAUGCAGCCACACCCAAAAAGAUUAAGUGAUGACCCAAAAUAAAACCCAGUUUUUGCGGGUCAUUCCA
rnacentral:antisense_RNA from 1 species